GAUUAUCAUAGAGUCGGGUUGUUUGGGAAUGCAGCCUAAAAAGGGUGGUAAAUCUCAUCUAAAGCUAAAUAUUUGGUAAGAGACCGAUAGAAAACAAGUACCGUGAGGGAAAGAUGAAAAGAACUUUGAAAAGAGAGUUAAAAGUACUUGAAAUUGUUAACUGGGAACCGCUUAAAAUUCUAAUCUCUUAAUUCUAUUAAAUCAUCUUCUUCAAGGGUGGAUCACAUUAAAUAGAUGUAACUCAGUUGCUCUAUGAGUGGGUGAAGUCAGAGAGGAAGUGCACUUUUAGUAGAAUUAUAAUCAACAUGAAUUUUAAGAAACUUAGAAAAAUAGAAGAAAGGUAGUAGUCUUAUCUUCGGGUAUUACUAUGUUAUAAUCUUUUAUUGAAUGAGUUACUUAAGAUUGAGGAAUCAAUGUACUCCUCUAUGGAUUGUGAUAUUAGGUUCAUGGAAGGGAUAAAGUAGCAGACUGUAACAGUGUGAUAUUUUAUUCAAUUCAUUAUACUUAAUAGCAAAAAGUACAUUAGAGAUGUUGAU
rnacentral:rRNA from 1 species